rnacentral:rRNA from 1 species
CCAGCCGUAAACUAUGAGUGCUAGGUGUGGGGGGCAACAAUCCUCCGUGCCGGAGUUAACACAAUAAGCACUCCGCCUGGGGAGUACGGCCGCAAGGCUAAAACUCAAAGGAAUUGACGGGGGCCCGCACAAGCAGUGGAGCGUGUGGUUUAAUUCGACGCAACGCGCAGAACCUUACCAGGGUUUGACAUCAUACUGCCCUCUGUGGAAACACAGAUUUUCGUAGCGAUACGGACGGUAUGACAGGUGU